rnacentral:rRNA from 1 species
UGAAGAGGAGCUCGCGUCCGAUUAGCUAGUUGGUGGGGUAAGAGCCUACCAAGGCAGCGAUCGGUAGCUGGUCUGAGAGGAUGAGCAGCCACACUGGGACUGAGACACGGCCCAGACUCCUACGGGAGGCAGCAGUGGGGAAUUUUCCGCAAUGGGCGAAAGCCUGACGGAGCAAUACCGCGUGAGGGAGGAAGGCUUUUGGGUUGUAAACCUCUUUUCUCAAGGAAGAAGCCAGUGACGGUACUUGAGGAAUCAGCAUCGGCUAACUCCGUGCCAGCAGCCGCGGUAAUACGGAGGAUGCAAGCGUUAUCCGGAAUCAUUGGGCGUAAAGCGUCCGCAGGUGGCCGGUCAAGUCUGCUGUCAAAGACUAGAGCUCAACUCUGGAAAGGCGGUGGAAACUGGUAGGCUAGAGUACGGUAGGGGUAGAGGGAAUUCCCAGUGUAGCGGUGAAAUGCGUAGAUAUUGG